CGGUAAUUCCAGCUCCAAUAGCGUAUACUAAAGUUGUUGCAGUUAAAAAGCUCGUAGUUGGAUUUCUGCGGGGACGGAGCGGCCGGACGCAACUUGCGUCUCGAGCUAGCGCUUUCCCCGCAUCCUGCCGCGAACCGUGCUACCAUUAGUUUGGUGGCGCUGGGGAUCGGCUCGAUUACUUUGAGAAAAAUAGAGUGUUCAAAGCAGGCCACACGCCUUGAAUAAGUUAGCAUGGAAUAAUGACUAAGGACUUCGGUUCUAUUUUGUUGGUGUUCGGGACUGAAGUAAUGAUUGAUAGGGACAGUUGGGGCGGUCUGUAUUCCAAAGCGAGAGGUGAAAUUCUUAGACCUUCGGAAGACAAACAGCUGCGAAAGCGUUCCGCAAGGAUGUUCCCUUUGAUCAAGAACGAAAGUUGGGGGAUCGAAGACGAUCAGAUACCGUCGUAGUCUCAACUAUAAACUAUACCAGCUAGGGAUCGGCCAACGUUUAAUUAUUCGACUUGGUCGGCACCUUAUGAGAAAUCAAAGCAUCUGGGUUCCGGGGGGAGUAUGGUCGCAAGGCUGAAACUUAAAGGAAUCGACGGAAGGGCACCACCAGCCGUGGAGCCUGUGGCUUAAUUUGACUCAACACGGGAAAACUUACCAGGUCCAGACAUAGGAAGGAUUGACAGAUUGAUAGCUCCUUCUUGAUUCUGUGGGUGGUGGUGCAUGGCCGUUUUUAGUUGGUGGAGUGAUUUGUCUGCUUAAUUGCGUUAACGAACGAGACCCCAGCCUGCUAAAUAGCGCGGCCGAGCUUUGCUCGGUGCGAGCUUCUUAGAGGGACCAUGAUGCGCGAUAGCACAAGGAAGUUUGGGGCAACAACAGGUCUGUGAUGCCCUUAGAUGUUCUGGUCCGCACACGGGCUACACUGGCGCCUGCAACGAGCAUAUCAGCUGGCCCGAGAGGGUCUUGGCUAAUCUUUUGAACCGGCGCCGUGCUUGGGAUUGACCUUUGCAAUUGUUGGUCAUGCAACGAGGAAUGCCUUGUAAACGCGAGUCAUCAGCUCGCAUUGAAUACGUCCCUGCCCUUUGUACACACCGCCCGUCGCUCCUACCGAUGAAUGUUCCGAUGAAAUUUUCGGAGAGCGCCAGAGAACGGGGCUCUGCCUUGCAGAUCUGGAGGCUCAAAGUCACUUAAAUCUGAACAUUUCGAGGAAGGAGAAGUCGUAACAAGGUAACC
rnacentral:rRNA from 1 species